GACGAACGCUGGCGGCGUGCUUAACACAUGCAAGUCGAACGGAAAGGCCCUGCUUUUGUGGGGUGCUCGAGUGGCGAACGGGUGAGUAACACGUGAGUAACCUGCCCUUGACUUUGUGAUAACUUCAGGACACUGGGGCUAAUACCGGAUAGGAGCUCCUGCUGCAUGUGGGGGGUUGGAAAGUUUCGGCGGUUGGGGAUGGACUCGCGGCUUAUCAGCUUGUUUGUGGGGUAGUGGCUUACCAAGGCUUUGACGGGUAGCCGGCCUGAGAGGGUGACCGGCCACAUUGGGACUGAGAUACGGACCAGACUCCUACGGGAGGCAGCAGUGGGGAAUAUGGCACAAUGGGCGGAAGCCUGAGGCAGCAACGCCGCGUGCGGGAUGACGGCCUUCGGGUUGUAAACCGCUUUCGCCGGUGACGAAGCGUGAGUGACGGUAAUGGGUAAAGAAGCACCGGCUAACUACGUG
rnacentral:rRNA from 1 species